GUAACUAGAUUGUGGCCAGGCCCAAUUGAGCAUAGAGCCCAUACAAGCUGACCCGGUCUGAAUUCGGAUACCCGGUUAUUCACUCAUUAAUAAUAAUUUACUUAUUUUUUUCCGAGGCAAAGAAAAACAGAAUUUCAGGGAAGACUAUUACUCGGUAGCUUCAAUGGAGGAGGAGCUCUUUGAUAAGUCCCUAAAGCGGUAUCUGAUCAGGUUAGGUGUCUAUUCUAGUUCAGUUCGAGAAGAAGAAGAAGGAGUUGUUAUCAGAAUGGAAGAUAUGAUAAGCUCGUUACCUGAACCGUUGUUAUGUCACAUACUCAACUUUCUUACAACUGAGCAAGCUGUUCGGACAAGUGUUUUGUCCUCUAGAUGGAGACAUAUCUGGAAAUUGGUUCCUAGAUUAGAACUAGACAGAGCUGAUUUCAGAGACAACCGAGACUGUACGUAUUUCAUCGACAAGUUUCUUGCUUUCCAAGGCAAGCCCUACUUGCGUGAGUUCAAGUUGACCAUUGACCAAGGUGUCUUUGGUUUUGCUGUUUCUCGGUACGACUCGUGUCUCGGUAGAGUGUUGGAUAUGCGGAGGCUUGAACGUUUCCAAGUCGAGAAUAAGUUCGGGCGUGGGGCCUUUUAUGACUUCCGGACACAGUUAACACUUUCUGUGUGCGAGGCAUUGGUAUGUUUAAAGCUCCAUUUCGUUAGGCUGAAUGAGUUCGAGUCUCUUUCCUUGCCCUGUCUCAAGAUCAUGUUCUUGGAAGACGUUGUUAUGCCUUGCGACGCUGCUGCAGAGGAGUUGAUCUCCUGCUCUCCGGUUCUUGAAGUCUUGAAAAUAUGCCUCGCACUGUCACUGAAGAGCUUCACUUUAAAACGAGUGGAACCUUCUUAUGCUCGUGGACAUUCGGUAAUGAUUGAUGCCCCGAAACUUGAGUAUCUGAGUCUCAUGGAUUACUACCAUUUCAGAAGCUUUGAGAUAGCCAGUGUGGCUGAGUCUUUAAAGGUUGAUAUCGGUGUUCAGUUUGAGCUGAUGACUGAUUACUUGUCGGAACAGAAGAUCAUCUACAAUCUUCUCAACAACUUUUCAGGUGUUAAAUAUAUGACCAUAUCAUGGAAAACUCUGCAGUUUAUAUAUAAUUCCCCUCAAACGAACUUUCUCCCCAAAUUUCAUGGCUUGACUCGUUUGCGUGUCACUAUCUGCUUAAACGCAUCCAGUGAACUAUUGCCAAUCGUUCUUGAGAGCUGCCCCAAUCUGAAACACUUGACACUGGAAUUGUUAAUUCAUUAUCCAGAAGUAGUGAUAGCUAGACUCUCCACUGUGCUGCCUCCUUGUUUGGUAUCGUCUCUUGAAUCUGUUGAAAUGAAAAGUCCGGUCACGGAGAUAGCUACUGAACUGGAUUUGGCUAGAUACUUUAUGAGGAACUCGACAACACUCAAGAAGCUCGUACUACGUUUGUAUCAGUCUUCUACUGGAGAGAAACACAGGCCUGGUGUCUUGGACCAACUCAUUGAAUCUCCUAGACUCUCUAGUUUGUGUCAGUUCGAAGUUAUUCCAGUGGUUCCAAUCUCAGAAUCAUCUAUAGCCUGAUGGGGUUGUCUAUGUAAAUUCCAAUAGGUUCUGAAGCUGGAUCUUAAUAUAAAAUAAGUGUGUAAAAGUAUGGCUUAAGACACAGCUUUAACCAUUUGUGUGAGAGAAUCUAUGCGUCCGUUUUACGUCACUUAAUAGCUUGACUCCUCCACUUGUUGAGUUUGCCGUCAACAAGACGGUUGAAAAAUAGUUGGCAAAUGAUAAUGUGGACGUUGACUGGACCCAUAACUUAUUAUGGAUAUUGG